rnacentral:rRNA from 1 species
AACGUGCCUUUCACUACGGAAUAGUCCCGGGAAACUGGGUUUAAUACCGUAUACGCCCUUCGGGGGAAAGAAUUUCGGUGAGAGAUCGGCCCGCGUCUGAUUAGGUAGUUGGUGGGGUAAUGGCCUACCAAGCCGACGAUCAGUAGCUGGUUUGAGAGGAUGAUCAGCCACACUGGGACUGAGACACGGCCCAGACUCCUACGGGAGGCAGCAGUGAGGAAUCUUGGACAAUGGGGGCAACCCUGAUCCAGCCAUGCCGCGUGAACGAUGAAGGCCUUAGGGUUGUAAAGUUCUUUCAACGGUGAAGAUAAUGACGGUAGCCGUAGAAGAAACCCCGGCUAACUCCGUGCCAGCAGCCGCGGUAAUACGGAGGGGGUUAGCGUUGUUCGGAAUUACUGGGCGUAAAGCGCACGUAGGCGGACUAUUAAGUCAGGGGUGAAAUCCCGGGGCUCAACCCCGGAACUGCCUUUGAUACUGGUAGUCUAGAGUUCGAGAGAGGUGAGUGGAAUUCCGAGUGUAGAGGUGAAAUUCGUAGAUAUUCGGAGGAACA